ACGCCGGUGGUGUACGGUACACGCAUCGUCUUCAUACUUUGGGGUGUUCCCGUUCAACGAUGAUACGGGGUUCGACUCCCCACCGGUGUA